GGAGAGCGAAUCAGACGAGAUUCCAAGGAGAACCAAGUACAGAUGGAAAAGACAGAGAAAGAGAGAGGAGGACUUGGCGCAUUCCCAAGAAAACCUGGGCAAGGGUUCCAGGGUUGCAAUGCCUGGAUCUUCAAAGGCAAAGGAAAAUGCAUCUGAUCCUGAAGAGGGCAUGAGCGGUGAAAACACAGGACCUAGUAGAGACUUGAUGCAAGGAGAUUCUGAUGAAGACAGCAUGCCUGGGCC